rnacentral:tRNA from 2 species
GGCCUGUUGGUCAAGCGGUUAAGACUCCGGCCUCUCACGCCGGCGACGGGGGUUCGAUUCCCCCACAGGUCA